GUGCCAGCAGCCGCGGUAAUACGUAGGGCGCAAGCGUUAUCCGGAAUUAUUGGGCGUAAAGAGCUCGUAGGCGGUUUGUCGCGUCUGCUGUGAAAUCUGGGGGCUCAACCCCCAGCCUGCAGUGGGUACGGGCAGACUAGAGUGCGGUAGGGGAGAUUGGAAUUCCUGGUGUAGCGGUGGAAUGCGCAGAUAUCAGGAGGAACACCGAUGGCGAAGGCAGAUCUCUGGGCCGUAACUGACGCUGAGGAGCGAAAGGGUGGGGAGCAAACAGGCUUAGAUACCCUGGUAGUCC
rnacentral:rRNA from 1 species